rnacentral:rRNA from 1 species
UUAAGCAUAUCAGUAAGCGGAGGAAAAGAAAAUAACAAUGAUUACCUCAGUAGCGGCGAGUGAAGAGGUAUUAGCCCAAGAUGUUAAUCUGUGUUAAAGACAUAGAAUUGUAAUCUAUGGAAUCAAUCAGAAAGCGGAAGCCUGCCAUAAGUCUCUUGGAACAGAGCGCCAAAGAGGGUGAAAGCCCCGUCUUCGGGUAGGACGAUGCAAUAUGAAAGAUUUCUAAGAGUCGGGUAGUUUGGGAAUGCUGCCCUAAGUGGGAGAUAAACUUCUCCUAAGGCUAAAUAUUUAUAGGAGACCGAUAGCAUACAAGUACUGCGAAGGAAAGAUGAAAAGAACUUUGAAAAGAGGGUUAAAAGACUUGAAAUCGUUGAAAAGGAAGCAGUAAAAGAGAAAUUAUUUACUUGCGAAUAAGGUUUUGGGCUAAGCUCUGUGGUGUAUGAUUCUUAACAAGGUCAUUGCCAUUCUGCGAAAACCAACUCACUUUUUACAGGUAAUAGACAAAAUGAGAUUGAGUUGUAAAAAUAAGGUUAGAAGUGUAUUCUUCGACUCGAAUUUACAAGUCAGUCUGAGGGAUCUUAGGAUGAUUUUGUCAAAAUGGCUUUUACUGACCCGUCUUGAAACACGGACCAAGGAGUCUACCUAUUAUGCGAGUGUUGGGGUGGAAAAACCCGAACGCCAACCGAAAGGGAUUUAAGAUGUGAGGCGCGAGCUACAACAUCAACCAAUCUUGAUUCUUUGAAGAAAGACUUGAGUAAGAGCAUAAUCGGUAGGACCCGAAAGAUGGUGAACUACGGUUGAGUAGGGUGAAGCCAGGGGAAACUCUGGUGGAGGCUCGAAGCGUUACUGACGUGCAAAUCGUUCGUCAAACUUGACUGUAGGGGCGAAAGACUAAUCGAACCAUCUAGUAGCUGGUUCCCUCUGAAAUUUCUCUCAGGAUAGCAGGAACAGAUAAAGCAGUUUUAUCAGGUAAAGCUAAUGAUUAGUGGAAUCGGGGGUCUCCGACCCUUGACCAAUUCUCAAACUUUAAAUUGGUAAGAACCUGGAGUUUUCUUAAUUGAACUUUAGGGUAGAAUGCAUUGUUCUUAGUGGGCCAUUUUUGGUAAGCAGAACUGGCGAUGAGGGAUGAACCUAACGUUGAGAUAAGGUGCCCAAAUUCACGCUCAUCAGACACCAUAAAAGGCGUUGGUUAGUAUAAACAGCCGGACUGUGGCCAUGGAAGUCGGCACCAGCUAAGGAGUGUGUAACAACUCACCAGCCGAAUUAACCAGCCCUGAAAAUUGAUGGCGCUAAGCGUGAUACCGAUACUCAACCAUCAUAGCAAAUAGAAGUUGUGAUGAGUAAGAGGGCGUGAAGACUGUGUAGAAGGCUUGGAUGUGAAUCUGGCUGGAACAGUCUUUAGUGCAGAUCUUGGUGGUAGUAGCAAAUAUUCAAAUGAGAACUUUGAAGACCGAAGUGGAGAAGGGUUCCAUGAGAACAGCAUUUGGUCAUGGGUUACUCGAUCCUAAGACAUAGGGAAAUUCCUUGUAAUACAUUUAUACUUAACGUAUAUGUAGUCAAAAGGGAAUGAGGUUCAUAUUCCUCAAGCUGGAUGUGGGGGCUAUGUGGCAACACAAACAAGCUCGAAGACAUCGGUAUGUGCAACUGGAAGAGUUCUCUUUUCUUCUUAACAGUCUAUCUCCCUGAAAGGAUUAUCCAGAGCUAGGGAUAUAUGGCUGGCAGAGCAGUUCUCCAUUGAAUUGUCAGUGAAGCUCAUAACGAUCCUUGAAAAUUCGAGUAAGAUUAUCCCAUCACACCAGGUCGUACCCAUAACCGCAUCAGGUCUCCAAGGUU